rnacentral:rRNA from 1 species
GCCUCUAGUUGCCAGCAUCGGUUGGGCACUCUAGAGGGACUGCCGGCGACAAGUCGGAGGAAGUGGGAUGACGUCAAAUCAUCAUGCCCUUAUGACCUGGGCUACACACGUGCUACAAUGGGCGGUACAAAGGGCUGCGAACCCGCGAGGGGGAGCGGAAUCCCAAAAAGCCGCUCUCAGUUCGGAUUGCAGGCUGCAACUCGCCUGCAUGAAGCCGGAAUCGCUAGUAAUCGCGGAUCAGCAUGCCGCGGUCGAAUACGUUCCGGGCCUU